rnacentral:lncRNA from 1 species
CCACAGACAAGCCCACCGUUGGCAGGACACUGCGUGACAGCUCUGUCUAUGGGACCAAAGAUCAGGAAGAUUCUAAAUGUAAACAUCAAGGUGAUGGAGGGCAUAAUGGUGGACAUCAUAACAGAAGCGAUGAUGGAGGCAAUAAUGAACUGAAGCCAUGCCACCAACCUUGGUGGCGCAGCCUGGAAUCCUAGCAUUUGGAGGCUGAGGAAGGAGGAUCAGCAUGGAUUCCAGGGCAGCCUAAGCUACAUACCAAGACUAUCUCAAACAACAAAAACAGGAAAGGCAUCCAUGCCAUUUCCAAAUAAAGACAGUUUUAUC